GAAGUGAUUUAGAAUACUGGUUCUACGUUAAUGUAAAUAUGUGGUGAAUAUUGUGCUUUGGAUUUGGAAAACAAGAUUAACACUAUUGACCAUUAACAAUUAGAAAUGUCAGAGUCGCACAUUGACGUAAAAUGCUAUUUCACGAAAUUUACUGCAAUUUCAUCAAGGUGCAAAAUAUGUAGCAAUGUUUACAAGCAUCAUAACAAUACUACAAAUUUACGAAACCACCUGAAACGUAAACAUUCAGAAUUUUUAAAUAUGGGAUUGGCACAAAACAAGAGUCAAAAACGUCUAAAAGUGAUAAAUAACAAAGGUUCAAAAGAGGAUCAAGAUCAGACCCAGACUACUACAUCGUCACUACAGAAUGAUGUUUCUACAUCAUCACUACACAAUGAUGUCGAAAAGAGCGAGACAAAUUUAUCAGAAGCAACAACAGUAACUCUCUGUGAUCUUACUGAUCUUAGUGAAAUAGAUGCAUUGCCCAGUUUCGAAAAAUCUACCCUUAAGUUCAAACAAAAUGACAUAGUAUCAGCUUUCGAUGAAAUAAAUUCAUUUUCAGGUGGAAGAAUGAAUGCUAAAAUAACCAAUGCUUUGAUUUAUAUGAUCACAGUUGAUCACCUUCCC